AAAUCAUAACAUAGGUAAUUGGGUUUUUCAUGGACUAGUAGUUUAGCUGCAAAAAUUGUUUUUGUGAAGGACUUUCUAUCUACCUAUUCAGAGUUUCCCCCACAUUCCUGGGUUCUUUACUCAGACAUUUCCAAUAUCAGGCAAGAAUUAAGGAUGCUCAGUUUCAAGUUCUAACUGGACAGGUAUCCUCAGCACUUUUCCUUCCUUUAUAUUAUCACUUGGUCCACAUUUCUGCCAGGUACCUAAGGCCCAGGAGAGAACUUCCUGCAGGACAUCCCACCCCAGUGACUCAUUCUAUAGCAGAAAACAAAUGGCCAGGGAAAUGGUGCUAGGAGCUCAAGGUCUCACAGCCAGGCAAAGGCAGGGCUGAGAGAACCAUAAGUGAUACGCACAUGCCGUGACCCAAGACUGAUGGAUAUUUAAGCCUGCUUUUGUGUGUUGAAGACAUUUUAAAGCAGUAAGCAAGCAUUGUAGCUAUGGUCAGUAUUCUAACCACAACCUGUCCUUCUCUUCUCUCGGAGCAGGAAUGAUUCUGCACCCUUCCUUGCAACUACAAACUGACUGUGGAGUGCAUCCUGACAGCCGUCCCUGGGCCUCAAGGGGGCAGACCUCAUGAAAAGAAUUUCUGGUUCUGAUCAUCUAGUUGCUCUAAAUUAGUUUUUCCAACAUAAUAUUCUGCCACUCUAUUUUUCUAUAUUCUUGCCAACUUAGUAGUGUGAAACUCUUGAAGUUGUCCAAUGUAACAGGUCAGAGAGGGGCAUCAUCACUAUCUGAAUCUCAUUACCAGUGAGAUUGGAAACACUGCAAACCCUUCGACGCUCAGGGCUUCAGUUCCAACAACUGUUGGUCCUAUGGCUGGCUUACUGUUAUUUGGUACUUAAGUUGAUUCGUAGCAAUCAUUUAUAUACCAUGGAUACUGUGUGACAAGUACUUUCCUCCAGAAAUGUAGCUUUUUAAAACUUGUUGAAAAUAUUUUGAAAUGUUAACAGCAAAACUAAUUGAAAUAUUAUUUAUAUAUUAUGAAAUUCAACCUUUAAAACUAUAUAAUGCCGAAGCUAAAGUACAUUCAUAGAGCUCUCUAAUUAUUACCAUGUAAUAGGCAUUUUAUUUUGAUUUGUACUUCUAGUAUUUUCAUUAUUCACAGAUAUCAAAUGUAUCUUUUAUAUUUUAAUUGAAAAAUUAAUUUCUUCAUAUUGUAGACAUUUAAUAAGAAUCAUUCUGGGCAGUGCUUUUUUAUAUUUAUAACCAAUUUUCAUAUCACCAUUUCCUCAGCCAUUUGCCUUUUGACUUCUCCUUCUGUCACUACUGGCUUCUGGGUUUUCCUAUAUGCUUGAAUCUGCUGUGGAAUCUGCCUCCCUCCCCCAUCAGCACCACACUGCUUUCAGUCCUCCGGCUUUAUCCUAAGUCUUUGUAACUGAGGGAGGCAAGUGAAUGAAGCCCUGGCCACUGUGGGACCCAGCACAGCCACUUGAAUCCUCUGCAGGUGGAGGGCUAUAGAAAUUGGAGAAGUCUGUGGCUUGGCGUCUGAACAGUUCUGUUCUGCUUUUCUCCUUGCCCUGGCGAGAGAAUGCUGGCCUGUUCUGCAAUGGUGCUACCGGGCAGCCUCAGAGGCCCCUGCUGCCACACUGCAUCUCGAUCUAACUGCUUCUCCUGAAUUCAUGACCUCUGACAGAGACGAGUGGGGCGGCUCAUACACCCUAGGCAGUUACCCGUUAAAAGACUCUGGAAAGUUCUGAAGGUUAAAAGAAGCAAAGUCUCCUCCUCAAGGUCACAUAAGCAGGAAGCAGCUGCUAGUCUACAGGAGACUCUUUGAUAGAGCUGCCUACACAUUGUGCAGAGAGCGCCAGGGCUGUUGCUUUGGUGACUGGUCAGCCAUGCAGGGAUGGACUUUUUGGUGAUGUAACUGCUUGAGUCUUCCAUGCUCCUAUAACU